rnacentral:lncRNA from 1 species
ACAAACUUUGCCUCCGCAAUGUCUGGGUAGGGGAGACUGUGUCAGGAGUGGCUGAAAUUUGCUAUCAAUACCAGUAUUGAACUGUGUCUAUUCAAGCCACGAAACACCUCCUGACCCCAAGAAAAGAAGGAAAAAAGAAAAAAGGAAAGAGGAAAGGGAAAAAGAAGAAUGAAGGAAGAAAGGAGGAAGGAAGAAGAAAAAGGAAGAAGAAAGCUGCAAGGAAGGAGGGAAAGAAGGAGGAAAGAGGAAGAACAGAAGGAACUUUUAAAGCCCAGGAACACAUGCUGUCAGAGUGGUGACGUCAUGGCCCCUGCCCAUUGGCUGUCGGAGCAGUGACAUCAUCAUACCUGCUGGAAGUUGCUGCCAUACCCCUGAGAGAGAAUGAGACAGAAGUAACAUGUUAACAUUGUCACGAACAGAGUUUUCACCUUGAAGAUGCCUUGAAAGUGUAUCGGGGCCCCAGAGCUCUCUGGACCACUUUGAGAACCACUCAGUCCUCUAAACUGCUGAAAACUGGUGCCUUUGUGAACACAAAUCAGGGCAACUUGGAGUUUCUGUGCUGGAAGGACGGCUUCAGAGGAGCUCAUCGUGGCCAGAAAAAUGCAGGAGGAUGAAGAGGUGAAUCUGGGAGGCAGACAGGAACAAUCAACUGAACAAAUACAGGAUGCCAGCCUGUGUGAAGUGUAGCAGAGGGCGUGCAAAGACAUCGCUCUGCCCUCGGGCUUCUGAAGAAGGUACUCUAUA